UUGAUGAGUGAUUGGUGAUCUAUCAGCAUGUCGCUGUACGCGUCUCAGAUUAAAGCGUUUAAGAGCGCGGAGCCCAAGACACUUGGCGCUAUUGAGAUCAUAAUUGGUGUGUUUACUGUCAUUCUGAGCACAAUUGUGUAUAAGCUGCACUACCAUAUCCAGCGUGAAAUCAUCAUCCUCAUCAUCAACGGUGCUCAGCUUGUCAUAACUGGUGUUGUCCUGGUGCACACUGGGAGGAAACCAUCUAAAUGUCUGGUGCUGACAACAUUUGUUCUGCAGUUACUAACAGCAGCAUUUGAUAUUGUUGGAUUUGGGCUGAUGGCCAGACACAUCCCAUUCAGAGGAGACUCGUACUACUACAGGGACACAGAGUGGUGUUGUGACCCACUUCACUCUCUUUCGGCUUGCUGUGGAGAUGGAGAGAAAGAGGCACAAAAAGAGUUCUUAGUGAAUGGGAUCUUGGUGACACUGAUCGGUUUCCUGAUGCUAGCAUGUGCCAUUGGUUUGGUUGUUUCUCUUUUUGGGGUCUACGCCCUUUCUGUUAGUGCCAUAAAGGAGCUGACUCCUAUCCCUCACUCUACACCAAACCAACAUUAUGUUGAUGGCGUUCAGACCCAGAAAAUGAUCCAUGCCGGAAACUGACAAAAUAAGAGGCAGAAGGGCACAGUUUUAGCACAGUUUUUCACCAACUGCAAAAGAGGACUGUUUCACCUACAAACCACUCACAGGUAACC
ensembl:lncRNA